GGGGAGGGGGAGGACGAGGAGAAGAAAUACAACAAAGCAUUCUAAAUUGUAUCAGAAGGGUUUCCUAUAUUCAGUUACAGUAGUUACAAUUCAUGUUUUUUUUUUCCUCAUAGGGUAUGAGUAUCCGCAUGACAUUAGAAUGAUAAAUAUUCAAAGGAACUUCAGUUCACAGGACUUAAGAAAUUUUACAGCUUUCCUUCCCUACCUGGGGUAAUCAUGAAAUAUCUAAACGCUCAUGUACAUGGGAAAUUCAUCUUGAAACUCAGAAGCUCAGCAAGCAGCCAGCAGCAAAAAAUUGAGUCUGUCAUCUUCCUUCAGAUUCACAAAAACACAAAGGCAACGUAUAUACUAACCCAAGAGUAACAUCUAUUAAUCCACCACAAGAAAAACAAAGUUGCCUACUCCAAAACUUGAUAUGUUAUCCAUAAUUGCAGAGAAAGGACAAGAAUCAGAUCACAUAUUCGAAAUUUACGUAAAGAAUCACACUGGUCCCUGAGGUGUAGGCUUGACAGUGAACAACACAGUGGCUGGAAUGAAGAAUACAUGCUUAUAACAGCAUCUGUCUUAAAGACUUCUACUGAAGAUUCCUCAGGCAAACUUUAUCCUUCUAAAGCAUCUCAUUUGGUAUUAGUAAUAAUAAGAGACUCAUCCACGAGUAAUUUAGACACUAACAGGUUAUCUAUCCGGAUAGCUCCUUAUGUUUUGUGGGAUCAGACUACAAAGGAUGCAUGGUUUGGGAGUGAUGUAUCAAGAAAGAUGUCCAUUAUACAAAUCAUGAUCGACAACUAUCAUCAAAUAUUUGGAAAUUAUAAUAUAUUUUAUAAACAUAUUGACAGAAGAUCUGAGGAUUUAAAGACUUGUGCAGAUUCAAUAAACUCUUCUGGCAAAUCACCUAUUAUGAAAGAAUUCCUAGCUGGCCACAACAAGAAGACAUGCGAUAAUGCAUCAAGAGGACCUGAUGCCCCCAGAAGCCUGGAUUGCUGGAUAUGCAUGUUUCUGUGAUGUACACAUAUACUCACACAUUUAUAAAACUACUGGUAUAUGUUGUGCCCUUGGUUUUAUUCUCUGUGUAUUUGAACUUUAUAAUAAAAAUACUUUUCACUGUGUAUAUGUGUGUGAAUCUGUGUGGCCUGUGCACAUGAGUGCAGAGUCGGAUGGAGUCUAGAGGAGCAGUGAAGG
rnacentral:lncRNA from 1 species